rnacentral:lncRNA from 1 species
GUCCGGGAAAAGCGUGCGGACAAUGUGUGGUUAGCAGCAGAAGGUGUGUACCUUCCUGUGGCAGGAAGCAUGUAGAGAGACAAAGAUGGUUAUGAGCUCUGUUCUUGAGGGGCUUGGUGCCUCCUGCUAUAAAUCCAUAGAGGAACGCCUUGAUGUUCCAAUUUGUUGGCCAAGACAUAUAAAACAGAUAUCAGAUGACAAGAUAAACCAACUACUUCACUUUAGAUGUAAGGUCAACUUUUUUAUGUUGUAUGUUAUAAGAACUUUAAAGUGGAUUCAUGUUGUCUUUGGGACUGAAGACUGGGAUUUAUGAUUAUAAUGUCUAAAUGAGCCAACUAAGUGAUGUCGAGAUGUAUUACACUAUUGUUUUCUUUCGUUCAAUUUCGGUUUUCGUUAGCUUGAAAGCCUAAAAGUAAUCUCAAAGCAAUAAUACUUGUUCUGCAUACGAAACAAGAGAAUAUUUGAACUUUUUGUGGGAUUCACCAAUUGAAAUGCUUAUGGGUUGUUUGAAUAGGGUCAUCGACGAGAGAUUUGAGUUGAGUUUGAUAUUUUACAAAUAGAUCGUUUGGAUAAGUGAUUUGGAGAAAUAUAUAAAUUUAAAAAUUAAAAUANNNNNNNNNNNNNNNNNNNNNNNNNNNNNNNNNNNNNNNNNNNNNNNNNNNNNNNNNNNUUUGAAUAAAUAAAUUAAAAAUAAAAUUAAAAUAAAAAAAAGAGUAAAUCACCUUUUUUUUCGGUGAAUAAUUAUUUUAUUCAUCAAAGCCAUCCAUGAGCUUCAAACUUGCAUUCUCACCGAAAAGUACAGAAGAACAAUACAAUCUACAUCACACACAAAAAAAAACACAAACAAACUUCCUCAACUAACAAGAGAACUAAACCAUACAAGAAUAAUCACACACACAAAAAAAAAAAAAAGACCCCACACCAUAAAAAAAACAAACAACCGUCUCCCGUGUAAUCAAACAUUCAUCAGAGGGAUGGAGAAAGAAGAAGAAGAGCAGAUGCCGCAUGUUAUAAAUUUAUGCUGUCGAGUUUGAAUUCAUCGCGAUACGUUGUAAUUUUCAUAACCAUUGCUAUUAUUAAAUCAUAAAGGAUAAAUUGAUAUAUUUAAAGAAAAAUAAUAAAAGUAGUAAAUUUAUGAAAAUAUUAAUCAUUUAGUUGACGUUCGGUUAAUGUAGCAUUUAGACCCGAUAUAUAUGGGAGUGCUUCGGUACCUGGAGCCUGGAGCCACAUAGUGUGUUUUAAUUGGCUGAAAUUAAAUAAUUGAAUAUAUAUCUGGUAAAUCCUUUAAAUAUAAUUCUGCACAUUUUGAUUACUAAAGUUUUUAACUUCGGCAACCUUUUACUCCGUUCCGUAAACUUAUUAUUUUAUUUCUGAUCUGUUUGUUUGGUGUAUUAAAACAAACAAUCAGACUCCAAUUCUAUUACUAGAAACCACCCAAUUUAGGGAUACUGGAAAACAAAUUUUCCGGAGAAAAUCCAAUAGAUGAGAAUUCAUAAUCGAAAUUGAAUCUCGAUAGGACACUCGGAUGAAUUGAUCCAAUGAUCCAAAAGAAAUUAAGAUAGGUUUGACGGUUUGAAACCUUUACUUUACCUCCAAAUAUAACCGCCUUCUUGUCGUCGGCACCUUCUGGUGGAAUCGCUGAGUGCCCGUUCAACUGUGAUUCUGAUUGUGAAUGCAUCAUCGACUCCGACGACGAAAUAUCGGAAGCCCAACUUUUGAUUCUGCUUGUGCAUGCAUCAUCGACUUCGACGACGAAAUAGCGGAGGCCCAAAUUCUGAUUUUCGAUAUGUGGUUUGCUCCAAUGGAUGCAAAUCUGUGGUCUUCUCCAAUGAUGAUGUCGCCGUUCAUCUCCUAUUCCAAGAAUCGUCAAAAUUCAAAGACGAAAUGGUGAGUUAAACAAGAGAUAAGAGUGGGGUUAAGGUUCUGGUGAGGGAGAUAAUGACGAAAAGCUAUGGUGACUAAUGUUCUGGUUAGGGAGAGGAAGACAAGUGGUUCGUUUGAUAUAAGAAAGAAGAAGAAAGGUGAAUUGAACUGGAUUUUAGUACACCAAACAAACAAAUGAGAAAUAAAAUAAUAAGUUAACAGAACGGAGUAAAAGGCGGCCAAAGUUUAACACUUUAGUGAUCAAAACGUG